ensembl:lncRNA
GGGAAGGACCUUUCCGCUGAAAUAGUGAAACGCGCCUGCGUUACAUCCAUUUCCCUUAAGCAUGGACAAAGCGAAGGUGGAAGUUUUCGGGGACGUGGAGGCAUACAGCUAGCUAGCUAGCUGGCUAUGUUGAAUGCUCAGUGGGGCCAAAUGAAGACCAACAUGCUAUUAUGAAGGUCAUAAGAUGAGGUAAUAAAACUAGAGUUUGUUAAAUAUAAGUUGUCAUUCUAAAGUAUUCUAGUACCAGUGAUUUGUUACAGCUUUGAUGAUUUUCACAUUUUUGCCGUUUACCCAUCUGACCAAGCUGGGUUGUUGACGACAUGCCUAUCUGAGCAUUCAAGCAGCACAAAUGCGCUCUCUCUAAAGCAUCUCAUCACUGAUGGAAGACAAGUACUCAUGCACUUCUCUUUCUGCCCAGAAAUAAAGGUGGCUUUUGUGGGAGGUUGAGAUGACCUUGGUCACCGCCAGCUAAGGACAAGUACUGGAUUAAGGGUAAUGGACUGCCAUGGAGUGUCUUACAUUUGGAAUGCAUCGAGAAAUGAAGACUGCCAUGACUGAUUACAAUGACCUCAGUGGUGCGAGUCAUCCAUUGCCAGCUUGCUGUCUGAUCAUGCAUGAAAAUACAGGUUGAAUUGACAUAAUGGCAGAACGUUGUGAAUCAAGCAAAAAUUGCAAUGACAUAAGGUGUUUAUUAUCCCAAAUUUGUGGAAAACUUGACUGCUGUCUCUUGAUGUAUUAAACUCUCAAUUUAAAAUGCCCUUCACCUUCAAGUGAAAAACCUGCAUGUGGGCUAGCUGGUUACUUUGAGAAAUUGGGGCCCCUACUCUUCUGUGAUGUAGGUUGCAGGCCCUGGUGCAUAUGUGUACACAAAGUGCAAAAUCUGCUGGUGGAAGCCUUCCAAGGUCAGGUCUCGCCUCUGCAGGGAGUCCAGGUCACGCAGAUCACAUGGAAACGUGGCAUCGGGUGGAAUAACAAGCGCUGAGGCCCCUGCAAGGCAGACUCGAUAAUGUACUAUAAUGAGGUUGAUCUUAAGCCUUAAAAUGAUGGUUAACUAAUGUAUAAUGCCACAUGGAUUGCAGUGUUCAAAUCCCCCUGUAAAAUAAAUGUCCUGAAGAGAUUUUGCCUCUGUUCUUUCAUAGUCACAGCCUGUGUGUCAGCAUAAAAUUGGAGGGUUCACAUCACUCAUAAGGGUCCUCCAUUCAACGUAUUAGAGA